rnacentral:rRNA from 1 species
UGUUUGAUGUUCUAACGUGGACCCGUGAUCCGGGUUGCGGACAGUGUCUGGUGGGUAGUUUGACUGGGGCGGUCUCCUCCUAAAGAGUAACGGAGGAGCACGAAGGUUGGCUAAUCCUGGUCGGACAUCAGGAGGUUAGUGCAAUGGCAUAAGCCAGCUUGACUGCGAGCGUGACGGCGCGAGCAGGUGCGAAAGCAGGUCAUAGUGAUCCGGUGGUUCUGAAUGGAAGGGCCAUCGCUCAACGGAUAAAAGGUACUCCGGGGAUAACAGGCUGAUACCGCCCAAGAGUUCAUAUCGACGGCGGUGUUUGGCACCUCGAUGUCGGCUCAUCACAUCCUGGGGCUGAAGUAGGUCCCAAGGGUAUGGCUGUUCGCCAUUUAAAGUGGUACGCGAGCUGGGUUUAGAACGUCGUGAGACAGUUCGGUCCCUAUCUGCCGUGGGCGCUGGAGAACUGAGGGGGGCUGCUCCUAGUACGAGAGGACCGGAGUGGACGCAUCACUGGUGUUCGGGUUGUCAUGCCAAUGGCACUGCCCGGUAGCUAAAUGCGGAAGAGAUAAGUGCUGAAAGCAUCUAAGCACGAAACUUGCCCCGAGAUGAGUUCUCCCUGACCCUUUAAGGGUCCUGAAGGAA